AGGGCGUACGGUGGAUGCCUAGGCACUUGAAACUGAAGAAGGACGCAACAAACGGCGAAACGCGACGGGGAGUGGUACGUACACAAAGAUCCGUCGAUAUCCGAAUGGGGAAACCCGUCAUCUGUAAUAGGAUGGCAUCCAUGGAUGAAUCCAUAGUCCAUGAGAGAGGUACCCGGAGAACUGAAACAUCUAAGUACCCGGAGGAAAAGAAAACAAAAGUGAUUUCCUGAGUAGCGGCGAGCGAAAGGGAAGGAGCCCAAACCAUCUCUAGAGAUGGGGUUGUAGGACCACGACAUGGCAAGAGCAUUGUUAGGAGAACGGCAUUGAAAGGCCGACCGUAGGGGGUGCAAGUCCCGUAUCCGAAAACGAUGUGAAGCCUAGUGGGAUCCUGAGUACGGCGAGACACGAGAAAUCUUGUCGGAAGCAGGCGGGACCAUCCGUCAAGGCUAAAUAUACCCAAGUGACCGAUAGUGAACCAGUACCGUGAGGGAAAGGUGAAAAGAACCGCGGGAGCGGAGUGAAAUAGAACCUGAAACCGUAUGCUUACAAGAAGUCAGAGCCCGUUAAAGGGUGAUGGCGUGCCUUUUGUAGAAUGAACCGGCGAGUUAUGUUAUCGUGCGAGGUUAAGCAGGAGAUGCGGAGCCGAAGCGAAAGCGAGUCUUAAUAGGGCGAGAGUACGAUGACAUAGACCCGAAACCGUGUGAUCUAGCCAUGACCAGGUUGAAGUUCAGGUGAAACUGAAUGGAGGACCGAACCGACCCCCGUUGAAAAGUUGGCGGAUGAGUUGUGGCUAGGGGAGAAAUUCCAAUCGAACACGGAUAUAGCUGGUUCUCCCCGAAAUAGCUUUAGGGCUAGCGUCGAGGCUUAGUCAUGUGGAGGUAGAGCACUGAAUGUACGAUGGCCCCAUCCCGGGGUACUGAGUAUAAUCAAACUCCGAAUGCCAUGCAGACAUACUCGGCAGUCAGACUGUGGGUGAUAAGGUCCAUGGUCAAAAGGGAAACAGCCCAGACCGCCAGUUAAGGUCCCAAAAUGUAUGCUAAGUGGAAAAGGAUGUGGGGAUGCACAGACAACUAGGAGGUUGGCUCAGAAGCAGCCACCCUUCAAAGAGUGCGUAACAGCUCACUAGUCGAGUGACCCUGCGCCGAAAAUGUACCGGGGCUAAGCAUGCUACCGAAGCUGCGGAUUUGUAGGAAUACAAGUGGUAGGGGAGCGUUCUAUGCAGCGUAGAAGCCAUAUCGUGAGGAGUGGUGGAGCGCAUAGAAGUGAGAAUGCCGGUGUGAGUAGCGAGAUGUAGGUGAGAAUCCUACACACCGAUAGCCCAAGGAUUCCAGGGGAAGGUUCGUCCGCCCUGGGUAAGUCGGGACCUAACGCGAGGCCGAAAGGCGUAGUGGAUGGAAAACAGGCAGAUAUUCCUGUACCCGCGAUGGAAAUGAAGGAAUGACGGAGAAGGUAAGUAUGACCCACUAAAUGGAUUGUGGGCGAAGCGUAUAGCAGGAUGGCAGUGAAAUGCGUCAUCAGGAUGUAAAGCGUGAAAGGUAAGGGAACGCCCAAGGGCAAGUACCGAAGCAUAUGUAGCCAGCUUCCAGGAAAAGUUUCUAGUAUAUUCCAUAGCGGCCCGUACCAAAACCGACACAGGUGGGCAAGGAGAGGAUCCUGAGGUGAGCGAGAGAACUGUUGCCAAGGAACUCGGCAAAAUGACUCCGUAAGUUAGCGAGAAGGAGUGCUUAUGAAAGUAAGCCGCAGUGAAGAGGCCCAAGCGACUGUUUAACUAAAACACAGCUCUCUGCAAAGUCGCAAGACGAAGUAUAGGGGGUGACGCCUGCCCGGUGCUGGAAGGUUAAGAGGAUUUGUCAGUAGCGAUACGAAGCAAUGAAUUGAAGCCCCAGUGAACGGCGGCCGUAACUAUAACGGUCCUAAGGUAGCGAAAUUCCUUGUCAGGUAAGUUCUGACCCGCACGAAAGGCGUAACGAUUUGGGCGCUGUCUCGGCAGCAGACUCGGUGAAAUCUUAGUACCUGUGAAAAUGCAGGUUACCCGCAACUAGACGGAAAGACCCCAUGGAGCUUUACUG
rnacentral:rRNA from 1 species